GACUCGGUAAGCAUGAUUGAUCCAAGGAGCUUACUCGUCCGUUCCAAAUAUGUGGCUGACUGGAAAGCCCCCCUCGGUCGACUUCCUCCAUUCCCAAGAUAGACUUCUUCCUCACGUAAGGUCUCUAAAAUCAAAUUUUAUUUUCCUUAUUUUCUAUGAAGUUAAAAUCUUUUUGGUCUCUAAAAUCGAUUUUGAUAUGAAGUUGAGACGAGAAAACUUUUUUCUUCAAUCAAUGUUUUCUAAAGUCUAUUUUGGUCACUGUAAUAUCAACUUAAUAACUCUAUUUUGGUGAUUGUAAUAUGAAAGGUUUUCUAUGGUCACUGUAACAUGAAAUCGCUAUCGAAGAGCAUAAUUAUUUUGAUUGAGUUUGAGGAUUUUUGGCUGAUGGAACCACACCAUUCUGUCUUAUUGAAUGUAAUUUUAGUGUUGCACAUAACCUGUUUGACAAAAAACCCAAGUGAAUAUAAUAAAUAGAAACCUCCCUUGAUGUUAUUCUUCCUAGUAUGGUUUUCUCUUAUCUUACCAUCUCUUAAACAAUUUCACUUGUGUUUUUGAUUCUGCAACUCUUACUAGACAUUUAUGUGAUGGUCAUGAUUCUUGGUUAAAGAGGAAGAAAUUUGUGGAUUUAGAAGAUGAGAAUUUGGAUAAGAAUGAGAUUAAUUGAUACAACUUCAUCUUUUAAUCGAGAAGUGAAUUUUGUUUUGAGUAAACUACACUAAUGGUACAUUAGUUAUGUGAUUGAACGAGAUUUUUUCAAUUGUAAUGCUAGCCAUGCUGAUGGUUUACUACUUUAA